UCUGGAUCUGCUACCACUCAUAGAAUUUCCUGUUCCAGAAUAUCGAGAAUCUAUCCUCAGAUUCGUUACUGAGAUGAUUAUAUGGCUUUAAGUCUAAAACAUGAGCAAUACAAUAAUGUCUGUGAGUAAAGUAUAAAAUAUUUUCUAUUGUAAUGUUUUAGCUUGGAGUGUUCUAUUUUACACACUAUGAAUUCUACAUGCAUCAUAGAUCAGCUUAUUCUUCAAUCCUAUGCAAAGCAAGAGCUAAUAGAAUAGCAGUAAUGUCUGUGAAUAUUUUACUUAGGAAUUAAAACGUAUAGAUGGCAUAUGCAACUAUAUUUUACUUAAGAUGAAACUAUAUUUAUUAACUUGAUGACUUUUUUUCUUUAGGAAUUAUUUGAGAUCCCACGUGGCCAAGGUCGUAGUGGUGAAGACAUUAUUAGAUUAGAAAUUAGUAUUCCUUUUCUAAUUCAAAUACAACAUGAAGGUGUAUAAUUUUAUUAUGCAAGUGGAUGUAAAUUUUCAGGUGGCCACCAAUUCAUUCUCUGUUCAUGUGAUGGAAAAAUUAUUAGCUGUUGGUAACUCAGGAAGUUUAUCUAUGUCAUUGCUUCAGAAGAUUCAUGGAAACCUCAUAAAGGUUCAACAUCUAAUUUCUUUGCUUUGGGAUACUGUAAUAUUCCUGUUUGCUAUGGUGCACAUGUUUAAUCGUGAAGUUUUAUUAAGAUGUCAGGCUUCAAAAGAAAAAGCUACUAGCCAGAGCUUUUGGUUAUAUAUAUAUGAAAUCAGUUUUCACCUCAUUGGCUAUUUUAUGUGUUUUCUAAUUUACAUGUAUAAGCUCAUUGACUUUAAAAAUAUUGUGCACUUGUGCUUGCUUGUUUCUGUACUUUAUCUAGUAAAAACUGCUUGCAAUUUUUUCAUCAUUUUGCUCAAAACUUGCUUACAGGAGGCCCAUGACAAGUCAAGAUAUGUGACCAAGGCUCCUUCCAUGAAGGGUUAGUAUAAUUCUGGUAUGUUUUCUUAGUUUCUUCCUAUAUCAAUAACCUACAUAUCAAUAUAUACCUGCAAAUCUAUAAGAUAUAUUGUUUCAUGGGAUCCACACAAGAGAAGAUAGAAGAGGAAUUGAGGGUUAAGAUACUAAUACCUACUUCAAAAGAAGAUGAUUUUGUUAGUGGUAUGCUUCACUUGGGAUGUAUGAUGUGGCUGUCAAGCAUAUGAUGAAAAUCUUGGCCUGCAGUCACCAAUCCAAGGCAACACAGGAAUUAUUCCUUAGUGACUUUCUUCAAACUGUGAAGCAGGUGAUGCAGAAUUAUAUAAUUUAAAUGUUGCAGCAGGUGAUGCAGAAUCCUAACUUCAUGACCAUGGCUGAGCGCCUGGGACCCAUCUAUGUCUUCCAUGCUUGAAAGUCUUACUAGUCCUUCAAAUAAAGAUCAGCUUGAGGAGAGAAUGGCACGCAUAAAAGAAGAUCCAUCUUUGAAGCAUAUUUUAGAUGAGAUAGAGACUGGUGGU